GAAAUGCGAUAAGUAAUGUGAAUUGCAGAAUUCAGUGAAUCAUCGAAUCUUUGAACGCACAUUGCGCCCGCCAGUAUUCUGGCGGGCAGGCCUGUCCGAGUGUCAUUUCAACCAUCAAGCCCCCGGGCUUGUGUUGGGGACCUGCGGCUGCCCGCAGGCCCUGAAAACCAGUGGCGGGCUCGCUGUCACACCGAGCGUAGUAGCAAUCACCUCGCUCAGGGCGUGCUGCGGGUUCCGGCCGUUAAACAGCCUUACAAAACCCAAGGUUGACCUCGGAUCAGGUAGGAAGACCCGCUGAACUUAAGC
rnacentral:misc_RNA from 1 species